rnacentral:rRNA from 1 species
UUGACCUCAAAUCAGGCGGGACUACCCGCUGAACUUAAGCAUAUCAAUAAGCGGAGGAAAAGAAACUAACAAGGAUUCCCCUAGUAACUGCGAGUGAAGCGGGAUGAGCUCAAAUUUAAAAUCUGGCGUCUUCGGCGUCCGAGUUGUAAUUUAGAGAAGUGUUUUCCGCGCCGGACCGUGUACAAGUCUCCUGGAACGGAGCGUCAUAGAGGGUGAGAAUCCCGUCUUUGACACGGACCCCCGGUGCUCUGUGAUACGCUCUCGAAGAGUCGAGUUGUUUGGGAAUGCAGCUCAAAAUGGGUGGUGAACUCCAUCUAAAGCUAAAUAUUGGCGAGAGACCGAUAGCGAACAAGUACCGUGAGGGAAAGAUGAAAAGCACUUUGGAAAGAGAGUGAAACAGUACGUGAAAUUGUUGAAAGGGAAACGCUUGAAGUCAGUCGCGUCCGCCAGGAUUCAGCCUCACGGUGUACUUUCUGGUGGACGGGCCAGCAUCACUUUCGAUCAUCGGACAAGGGCGAGAGGAAUGUGGCACCUCCGGGUGUGUUAUAGCCUCUUGUCGUAUACGGUGACCGGGAGUGAGGACCGCCUUUUGUAGGAUGCUG